rnacentral:rRNA from 1 species
UACGAAGGGGGCUAGCGUUGCUCGGAAUUACUGGGCGUAAAGGGAGCGUAGGCGGAUAGUUUAGUCAGAGGUGAAAGCCCAGGGCUCAACCUUGGAAUAGCCUUUGAUACUGACUGUCUUGAGUUCGGGAGAGGUGAGUGGAAUGCCGAGUGUAGAGGUGAAAUUCGUAGAUAUUCGGCGGAACACCAGUGGCGAAGGCGACUCACUGGCCCGAUACUGACGCUGAGGCGCGAAAGCGUGGGGAGCAAACAGG